GAAGGCUAAGGCAGGAAAAUCACUUGAACUUGGGAGGCAGAGGUUGCAGUGAGCUGAGAUCAUGCCACUGUAUCCCAGCCUGGGUGACAGAGCAAGACUCCAUCUAAAAAAAAAAAAAAAAAAAUUCUAAAUAGUUGAUUGAAUAAUCUCAACUACUUGGGGAUAAAACAUGAUUUUUCUCCUAAUGUAAUUGCCCCCAACUAAUCCAGACUGACCAUCCUUUUUUUUUUUCUCAAAUAGAGGGUUUCUUAAUCACAUCUUUGCCACCUUCCAUAGCUUUCUAGCCACCUUUGAUUAUUUCCGAUUUAAGACUCAGUCCUUUGCAUCCUGAAGCUUCAAGUCUCAUCAACUCCCUGUCUACCCAUGCAGACUGGGUCUGUCUGUGACUCUAGCUUAGGCUUGAUCUCUUUACCCAUCAUCUUCUCCCCUCUGUAGAGCCAGCCCUCCAGUGUGUGCUGGUGCAGGAAGAGAGAGAGGCAAAGGGCAAGUGUCUCCUCUCAGCACAGCAAGUUUGCAUGGAUCCAUCCUGCACGCCCUCAGGAGCUGAGAACUCAAGGCAGCAGUUCUGGGCCCUCUCUGCCAGGCAGUAUAUCCCUUCCCCACUAUCUCCCUCCCAUCCUCUUCUCCACAGCCCUAGGGCAGAUUGACAAGCCCGAAGGCCAAGCAAACAACCAUCUGGGAGCACAACUCUCCUUACAAACACCUCUAGUUUUCCUUAUGAUUCUCUUAGGUCCCCACCCCAUUCCUUGGCUUCAAGAAAGAGAGUGAAUAACCCCUCUCCCCAAGACCAGUCCACCUCACCCUCUCCUUUGUCAACCCUCAGAGCUUGAAUGGGGAAUCAUGGAACCAGUUCGGACUCCCCCUAUAAGGCAAGGGGAGCUUGGCAGGCUCCAGCUUUUGGGGGCUUACUGGUGUCUCUCGGAAUGGAGAGACCUUUCGUUCUCACCUUUAGACCCUCUUUCAAGCUAGUGGUGUCAGAGGAGGGAGAGAUCACUUUCAACUUUCAGCGACAGGGAAUCAGAGAAAACCUUUUUGGAGAGGGAACAUUUGAACUGGGCCUCAAAGGCUAGGUCAGAUUUGGCAAAGUGAAGAUGAAUGGUCAGGUGAGAGAGAGGGAAGGCAGAGGCGAAGGCUCAGACACAAGGAGUUUCGUGGCACGCAGGCGUACCAGUUAGCUACGACAGACAUGCGUGCAGGAGAGUGGAGAAAGGAAGUGAAAGCAUGCCCAGUGUUUCACGUUGCCUUUGGCUUGGUCUGAGCUGUCUGUCCCGUGAUGCUUUGAGGAGGGUGUAGGCAGCUGUGCAGCCAUUCUCAGGACCUGUAUUUGCAUUUGCACAGGCCAGUGAAGCUGAGAGUACUGAAGUUCACUGAUGCUGGCCAGGAGCUGUUUGGAAUGACUGCCAAUCUUGAAAGUAGAGUCCGUGUAUCUCAAGACAUAAAAUUAGCAAAAUUCUUCUGCAGCCAAUCCCAUUUUCUUGCAGUCUUCAUGCAGAAGCACCAGCUUCUCUGAGCAUUUGAAUCACUCCACACAGCUCCUUCUAUCCUGAAUGACACUGCCCAAAAUACACUGAAGGCCUGUCCAGCACCCUGAAAAUUCCACGGCUACACAACAUGAGGAAGCCGAGUCAGGGGAACAGGGGGCUUCAGGUUAGCUGUGGCCACUCACGUGCUCUGUGAUUUUGGACAAGUCAGUCUCUGAACCUCAAAUUCAUCAGAAAUGCAGGGGUGAUACUAGCUGCCCUAGCAUAGGAUUAAAUGAGGGAGGUAAUGUGCAUGAAUACGUUGAAAAGUGUCAGCCGGGCGUGGUGACUCAUGCCUGUAAUCCCAGCACUUUAGAAGGCUGAGGCCAGUGGAUCGCUUAAGACCAAGAAUUAGAGACCAGCCUGGCCAACAUGGUGAAACCCCAUCUCUACUAAAAGCACAAAAAUUAACCAGGCAUGGUGCUGCGUGCCUGUAGUCCCAGCUACUUGGGAGGUCGAGGCUUGAGGAUUGUUUGAGCCCAGGAGGUGGAGGUUGUAGUGAGCCAAGAUCACAACACUGCACUCCUGCACUCCUGGGUGACAGAGUGAGACUCUGUCUCAACAACAACAGCAACAACAAUAAAGUAGUGACAUUGAUGUGUAUCUUACAUGAUGAAUGCAGUUUCCACUCCUCUCAAGACCCCAGAGUAUAGUGCAUAGGGAAGCAGAAAGCAUUUGUGUUCCCAGGGGGGAGGCUGGCUGUGCAGGGAGGACAUGAUCAAUAACACUGCCAGCUUAAAAUAAGCAUCAGUGUCACCAAAACGCUGCUUCCAAACCAACCCCUGAUGUUCUAGGUCCACCAUUCCUCUGUCCCACCUCCCUGCUUUACCUCUUUUUUUUUCUUUUGUUUUUUUUAGACGAAGUCUCACUCUGUCACCUAGGCUGGAGUGCAGUGGUGUGAUAUUGGCUCACUGCAACCUCCGCCUCCCGAAUUCAAGCAAUUCUCCUGCCUCAGCCUCCCGAGUAGCUGGGAUUACAGACGCCUGCCACCAUGCCCGGCUAGUUUUUGUAUUUUUAGUAGAGACAGGGUUUCACCAGGUUGACCAGGCUGGUCUUGAACUGCUGGUCUCAACUGAUCCGCCCACCUCGGCUUCCCAAAGUGCUGGGAUUACAGGCAUGAGCCACUGUGCCCGGCCUUUCCUCUGAUUUCUAUGGCACCUAUCACCAUGGUAUGCAGGUACUCACAUCAAAUCUGUUUUUAAGUUCAAAACAGAGCCAUAUGUGGGAAGACGCAUUUCUCUUCUGAAGCCUUAUCUCUGAAGCUGAGCUUGGAGUGAAGUGACAGGCGGAACCGACUCCUUGGAGGAUGGAAUCUUGAGGUUUUAUGUGGGAGCAGAAGAGAAGCAAGCACCAAAUAUCUAUCAAAUGCCCACAGAGGGAAACACUGUAGUAGCUGCCUAGAGAUUCAGUCCUGCUCAAGUUUCCCUGCUCAGAUCUCAGGCGCAAUUUUGAGAAAUGUUCUUCUUCCUCAGUGGAUGACCUCACCCUUUAUGGGGAGGCGUGCCCAUACGCACAAUAACACAGUACUCAUAAAGUCCAAGAGAGGCCGGUCCAGGCCUUGGCCAGGGAAGCAUCCAUGGACUUGGGCGUUCGUUGCAGAAUGUUCAGACAGGUCUGGAUGAGGGGUGAGGCCCUGCCUUGGAGGGGCUGCCCUCCCUCUGUGGCACGGAAGCCCUGCUGCCUGUGACAGGAGGCGACUGCACCUCACCCGCGGCCUGUAUGCUGCAGGACCCAGCGAAGAGCUUCCUUAGCUUGCAGCUGUGCAGACACUAGGAAAGGGAGCACCUACCAGGGAGAUUUGCCUUCUUGGUCCGGUAGCAAAUGCAGUCCCGCCGGCCCACCUGGUACAGGUUUGUGCCACCUUUCCCCAGCACCAGGGAGCAGCUCGGCAGGACCAGGCUCUGGGGGUCAGCACAUGCGUUCUUCACAAGCGUAAGAGGGCUGUCGUGAGGGAAAAAAAAAUGGCAUUAUAUGACGUCAUUCCAGCUUUCAUACCCUUUCUGGAAAUAAGUGAUGAUAUAAAGAAAUAGACAUAGAUUAUGUACACACAUACAUGAAGGGUAAGUACUUGGAAAUGUU
rnacentral:lncRNA from 10 species